rnacentral:rRNA from 1 species
UCGGGGUACUCGAGUGGCGAACGGGUGAGUAACACGUGGGUGAUCUGCCCUGCACUUUGGGAUAAGCCUGGGAAACUGGGUCUAAUACCGAAUAGGACCACGCGCUUCAUGGUGUGUGGUGGAAAGCUUUUGCGGUGUGGGAUGGGCCCGCGGCCUAUCAGCUUGUUGGUGGGGUAAUGGCCUACCAAGGCGACGAACGGGUAGCCGGCCUGRGAGGGUGACCGGCCACCACUGGGACUGAGAUACGGCCCAGACUCCUACGGGAGGCAGCAGUGGGGAAUAUUGCACAAUGGGCGCAAGCCUGAUGCAGCGACGCCGCGUGAGGGAUGACGGCCUUCGGGUUGUAAACCUCUUUCAAUAGGGACGAAGCGCAAGUGACGGUACCUAUAGAAGAAGCACCGGCCAACUACGUGCCAGCAGCCGCGGUAAUACGUAGGGUGCGAGCGUUGUCCGGAAUUACUGGGCGUAAAGAGCUCGUAGGUGGUUUGUCGCGUUGUUCGUGAAAACUCACAGCUUAACUGUGGGCGUGCGGGCGAUACGGGCAGACUAGAGUACUGCAGGGGAGACUGGAAUUCCUGGUGUAGCGGUGGAAUGCGCAGAUAUCAGGAGGAACACCGGUGGCGAAGGCGGGUCUCUGGGCAGUAACUGACGCUGAGGAGCGAAAGCGUGGGGAGCGAACAGGAUUAGAUACCCUGGUAGUCCACGCCGUAAACGGUGGGUACUAGGUGUGGGUUCCUUCCUUGGGAUCCGUGCCGUAGCUAACGCAUUAAGUACCCCGCCUGGGGAGUACGGCCGCAAGGCUAAAACUCAAAGGAAUUGACGGGGGCCCGCACAAGCGGCGGAGCAUGUGGAUUAAUUCGAUGCAACGCGAAGAACCUUACCUGGGUUUGACAUGCACAGGACGCCGGCAGAGAUGUCGGUUCCCUUGUGGCCUGUGUGCAGGUGGUGCAUGGCUGUCGUCAGCUCGUGUCGUGAGAUGUUGGGUUAAGUCCCGCAACGAGCGCAACCCUUGUCCUAUGUUGCCAGCGGGUUAUGCCGGGGACUCGUAGGAGACUGCCGGGGUCAACUCGGAGGAAGGUGGGGAUGACGUCAAGUCAUCAUGCCCCUUAUGUCCAGGGCUUCACACAUGCUACAAUGGCCGGUACAAAGGGCUGCGAUGCCGUGAGGUGGAGCGAAUCCUUUCAAAGCCGGUCUCAGUUCGGAUCGGGGUCUGCAACUCGACCCCGUGAAGUCGGNUAGUCGCUAGUAAUCGCAGAUCAGCAACGCUGCGGUGAAUACGUUCCCGGGCCUUGUACACACCGCCCGUCACGUCAUGAAAGUCGGUAACACCCGAAGCC